rnacentral:misc_RNA from 1 species
AAGUCGUAACAAGGUUUCCGUAGGUGAACCUGCGGAAGGAUCAUUAGCGAGAGCCUGCCACGGACGCAAGUCUGUGAGCAAGCGCGCCAUCCUUGUGUUGUGUGUGUUGCCUGUGCACCCGGCAGCGUCUGUGACAAUGUCUGACAAUGUCCAUGACAAUGUCGUGUGCACACGCGCAUUUUCACCCAUUAUUCCCAUUUAUCUAAUGCAACUGCUCACACUGAGCACAAACAACCGAAAACUGCCAGCAAUGGAUCACUCGGUUCUC